rnacentral:rRNA from 1 species
UCAGAUUGAACGCUGGCGGCAGGCCUAACACAUGCAAGUCGAGGGGUAGAAGUCUUCGGACUUUGAGACCGGCGCACGGGUGCGUAACGCGUAUGCAAUCUGCCUUACACUAAGGGAUAGCCCAGAGAAAUUUGGAUUAAUACCUUAUAGUAUAUGACUGGGACAUCCCUAACAUAUUAAAGUUCCAACGGUGUAAGAUGAGCAUGCGUCCCAUUAGCUUGUUGGUGUGGUAACGGCACACCAAGGCAAUGAUGGGUAGGGGUCCUGAGAGGGAGAUCCCCCACACUGGUACUGAGACACGGACCAGACUCCUACGGGAGGCAGCAGCGG